rnacentral:rRNA from 1 species
UACGUAGGGUGCGAGCGUUUGUCCGGAAUUAUUGGGCGUAAAGGGCUCGUAGGCGGUUUGUCGCGUCGGGAGUGAAAUCCACUGGCUUAACUGGUGGCUUGCUUCGAUACGGGGCAGACUGGAGGUAUGCAGGGGAGAACGGAAUUCCUGGUGUAGCGGUGAAAUGCGCAGAUAUCAGGAGGAACACCGGGUGGCGAAGGCGGUUCUCUGGGCAUGUCCUGACGCUGAGGAGCGAAAGUGUGGGGAGCGAACAGG